rnacentral:ribozyme from 11 species
UAAAGAGAAGGAAAGAGAUCGAGACGGAGUCAAUAAGCUGUUAUUUUUCUCUUUCAUCCGCUCUUCUUUUAACUUUUCUUUUAGGAAGCGGAUGUAGAAAGAGAAAAAUAAUAACAGCUUGACUCCUUGUCU